AACGCUGCGGCCGCUGCCGCCAGUCCUGCCGCUGCUGUUGUUGCUGCUGCAGUCACGUGGGAGGCCCUUUAAGUUUCCAUAGAGAGGCCUCUCCGGUGUCACAUGAUGGACAUGAUAUAAUGAAACAACAUUGUGGAGAGGAAAGCAUUAGGGGAGCCCACGGCUACAAAAACAAGUGAGUGAGAAGAGGUGGGAGGAAGAGAAACUACGCCACCUCCCCUGCAGCCGAGCUGCACGCAGCAGCAGCCCGCGGGAAGUGGGCGACGCCGGGGGGGAAGGGAGACCCGGUCCCCAGCCCCGGCCCGGCGACCCCGCUGCCCACCGCCAAGAGAACAACUUUUAGCCGGCAGCCUCGGCCGGCACUGCACCUGUCUCCGGAGGCUCCAUCGCUCCUCGUGAUGAUCAAAGGGGCAUUCUAGAAGAAUAUGUUCUACAAAUAUACAUGCGCAUCAUUUUCCCCCUUGCGUCUCGCUCCGGAGGAAGGAAAGAGAAAGGGAUUUAAGCAGCAACGUGUGUUCAGCCCCAAGGGUGAAAAGAGUUGGGAUAUUUUAUCAUCUGGAGUUUCUCUGCCUCGCUGAUGAUCUAAGCUCAAACCUGCCAGUUUAUGGGAGAUGAUAGAAAACACCCUCUAACAUCUGAGUUGCAAAAAUAUCUGCCUCUAAGAACUCAGGAGUACCUACUUUGUGGGAGCAAAGGUAGUGAGUCAUACCUGCAAGCUUGGAAACGAGAGUUCACUUGCGCCUCUUCAUCCAGUUGGGACGUUUCCUCGGCAACCAUUUAUGCAGCAAUUAAAAGAUGAGGAGUUAAGAGGAGAAAAUGGAAAAAACGGAGGUACUUUUAAUGGAACAGGAUAAACCACUGAACAGGAAGAAAUACGUGUCACGUUAGGACCCAGUGCACGCACUUGCGCACGUGGAUGUAUGGUUUCCCGAUACAUCUUCACUAUAUGACACAAUUAAUGCAUCAUCUCUGCAUGGAAGAGGACCUAGGAAGGUGCAGGUGAUGCAGUGGUACCUUUCUGGCAGUCAUAUUGUCUCCAGGCAGUUGAAGGCCAGUCCUAGGAAGAUGCCAGAGGGGCU